rnacentral:tRNA from 1 species
GGUAGGGAGAGGAUUUAAACCUCUGUAUUCAGAGCUACAAGCCGUCGCCUUUCUCUCGGCCAUCC